CACAACACAUUUUGUUUAGGACUCCUGUAAUAUAACUAUUUUUGUUUUCUUAUUUAGGAUGAAACUAAAGAAAAGGCGUCUCAUGGAUAUCUCACCAUGUGACCAGGGAGAAGAUUAUGAUGCAGAUUCAAGUGGUGGAUCAAACAUGCUUUUGCCACCCAGGAGCAGUUCUGGUGACAACAGUUCCCUGUUCAGGGCACUACCAACUCUCUUCCCAUCAAGAGCUGCACCACCCAAGAAGAUGGGACAUGCCAGUGAAGCACUGAUUCAUGUCCUUCAGAAGAUCCAGCAUCAGCCCUGUUCUGGUCUUUGAAGGGUCCCGCUGUCUUAUUGCAGUUGGAACCACUCCCAUCACCACAUUCGCCACAGAUGACCUUGGAGAAGGUUUGCUGUAUCUUAUGGCAUACUACUACACCCUGCAUCUCACCUAUCCUAAAUGUGUCGCAACGCUUCUGUCUGUCAUUCAGACUGAAGUGUUAAAGGACAAUAUCCAUGAGCAAGACACCACAGGCUCAUACAAAAAAGUCAUGGCAGG